rnacentral:rRNA from 1 species
GCGUGAAGGAAGAAGGCUUUCGGGUUGUAAACUUCUUUGACGAGGGAAGAUAAUGACGGUACCUCGAAAACAAGCCACGGCUAACUACGUGCCAGCAGCCGCGGUAAUACGUAGGUGGCAAGCGUUGUCCGGAUUUACUGGGUGUAAAGGGCGCGUAGGCGGGAUGGCAAGUCAGAUGUGAAAUACCGAGGCUCAACUUCGGGGCUGCAUUUGAAACUGCUGUUCUUGAGUGAUGGAGAGGCAGGCGGAAUUCCUAGUGUAGCGGUGAAAUGCGU